AGAGUUUGAUCCUGGCUCAGAUUGAACGCUGGCGGCAUGCCUUACACAUGCAAGUCGAACGGCAGCACGGGAGCAAUCCUGGUGGCGAGUGGCGAACGGGCGAGUAAUAUAUCGGAACGUGCCCAGUCGUGGGGGAUAACGUAGAGAAAUUUACGCUAAUACCGCAUACGAUCUAAGGAUGAAAGCGGGGGACUCGCAAGGGCCUCGCGCGAUUGGAGCGGCUGAUAUCAGAUUAGGUUGUUGGUGAGGUAAAAGCUCACCAAGCCGACGAUCUGUAGCUGGUUUGAGAGAACGACCAGCCACACUGGGACUGAGACACGGCCCAGACUCCUACGGGAGGCAGCAGUGGGGAAUUUUGGACAAUGGGCG
rnacentral:rRNA from 1 species